GCCCGGUUAGCUCAAUCGGUAGAGCGUGAGACUCUUAUCUCAGAGUUGCGUCUCGAAGAUUUUCAAAUCUCAAGGUUGCGGGUUCGACCCCCGCAUCGGGCU
rnacentral:tRNA from 1 species